GACGAACGCUGGCGGCGUGCCUAACACAUGCAAGUCAACUUGACUGAAGGAGCAAUCUGACAGUAGAGUGGCGCAAGGGUGCGUAACGCGUAAGUAACUUGCCCAAGGUAAGGAAUAACGUCGAGAAAUCGGCGCUAAUACCUCAUAAUGCAGCGGAUCCGCAUGGAUAUGUUGUUAAAGGUUUACCGCCUUGGGAUAGGCUUGCGUCUGAUUAGCUAGUUGGUGUGGUAACGGCGCACCAAGGCUACGAUCAGUAACUGGUCUGAGAGGAUGAUCAGUCACACUGGAACUGAGACACGGUCCAGACUCCUACGGGAGGCAGCAGUGAGGAAUAUUGGGCAAUGCUCGAAAGAGUGACCCAGCAACGCCGCGUGGAGGAUGAAGGUAUUCUAUAUCGUAAACUCCUGUGAGAGCAGACGAAAGACAGAUUAUAAUCUGGAUGACUGUAUGCUCAGAGGAAG
rnacentral:rRNA from 1 species